rnacentral:lncRNA from 1 species
GUUGAGACUACCUACAAAUUCCAAAUGGGACUAGUUAGUAGUGGGAUAUUCAUUAAGGUUCACUUUUGUCGUUUUGGAGUUCGAGUUCGUAGACUGGCCAACAAUGAGCGAGGUAUCUGUGGGGAAGAGAAGAACUGCAAGGGAGUGAAGAGAGCAAAUCACUUAGUCGACGUGUUUGGCUUCCUUUAUCGCUGAGAUUACUCCACCGACCUCGACAAGAAGCAUCGUCUCCAGCUCCUUCCUCCUCGCUCCGUCGUUCUCCAUCGCCGGAGGAAAUUUGCAGAAAUUUGAUUGUCGAGCCAAGCAAAGUAUUCAAG